GUUAAAACUAGAGCUGUGGCUUUUGUCUCAGUCCAUACCACAAAGAUAGACUGUCAACCCCAGCACAGAUUGCCGCUCAGCCGACAGCCAAGCAGUCGACAAGGAUAACAGAAGCAUCAUGAUAUUCGGAAAACAUCGGUGUUGUAUUUUUUUCUUCGUUAUAGAGAGAGAGGCAGGAAGAGGCAGGAAGAGACCGAGAGAGAGAGAGAGAGAGAGAGAGAGAGAGAGAGAGAGAAGGGUAAAGAGGGCGAGCAUUCAUGUGAUUCAGCUGGCGUGUCAUCUGAACACCGUGGUCUUUUUGGAGACCUCACAAAACGAAGCGACACCAGGACAUCUGAUGGACAUCCAAGACGCCAACAACAAAACGUAUUUACAAGGAACGUGUCGAGGGUCGGGAGAGUUCAAGAUAUAAAGGAUGCUGGACUGAGCAACAGCUGGCGUUCGUCUCUCCACGUUCAAGAUUUUGGAAGGAAUAUCAAAGGAGCAGUUGCAAAGAACCAUGAAUAUGUUGCCUGCGAUGAAACAUUCUUUACCCAUGGUACACUGUGUGAAGAGAAAGCGAAGGGGUGCAGGACAAAUUUCCACCCCCACAUCCCUCCAAUUUCAGCAAAGGAAAAAAUGAAAGGCAAUUCCCCACAGGACUCCUGGGAGGGAACAUGCUUGGGUAAUUAAGCGUCGCGGCGCACAGCCCCAGUCAAGGCAAUUACCACAAAUCAUACACUCUCACCAGCUCUAAUUAUUGAAAAUCUGUCUACUUUGUUGACAGACAAGACUCGUUUUCCCUAUAGCACACUUACAACAAUAACAAUUAUGUCACGUACUAUUACAUAUAUUACCUAUUUAGCCAAAAUGGAUGGCUGUACUAAAGCCAUUUUAGAAGGACCACAGGAAAGACAUUUUACUCAUCCUAAUAUGUAUUCUGUAAGAUAUUCGCACUAGAAAUGACAAAACUACUGUAACAUCGCACACUUGUGUCGUAUCAUCUUUAUUUCUGCUUGUCUGAUGAUACCAAUGAUUUUACCAUUUUUCAAAACUAAUUGAAGUCAAUUAUGGGUCAUGAAUAAUUUGGGACACUCCUCUAAGAGUGGAAGGGGCGAUGUGGGCUUUGACAGGUUAUCCAGAGGACAGAACAGCUCAGCAUUUCAUUCAUUCGGCCCGGUUCUCUGCUGACAGCCCCUCAUCCCCUGCCAGUCUUUAAAUGUGAAAUCAAUGGGAGCAGAUCUAAUCAGCAAUAUCUUCUCUUGUUCCCAGAGACUGAGGAGGGGGUCAGUCACUUUGGUUUCUGUAAGUCACGCUCCUAAUCAGCUCUGCUCAGUGCCGGGGUGCCCAGGGAGAGCCAAAAGUAAUGAAUUAAGGGGAUGAAUGAACAGCCAUUUAAGGUACAUCCACCAUGUUCCCCAAGGUCAGGCUUAUUCAAUGGGAACCCAAUCGAGUUAGACAGUAAAGGCAGUGUGCUACCUUAAGGGCAUGGUUAUUAUCAGUGAACACUAUUGAAUUAAAAAACACCUGCAUCCUUGUUUGAUUCCCAUUGCGUGGACAGGAAUAUGAGUUUAACACCUGAUUAUUUUGCCAUGGGGCAUCUAUUUUGUUUAUUUAUUUUUAAUCACCUUUAAUUACCUUUGGGCUACAAGCCCAGCUCCAGGAGCCUAGCUAUUUAAUCACUGCAACAUACACAUGCCAAAAAUGUGUAAGUUGGAUAUGUAAAUACAGUGUCGAGAUUGAGCACAAUUAACUUAUGAUGCUGAGAAUUCCUCAGUCUUAAAAAGAUGUUAUAUUUUCAAAUGCACACAUAUGUUAAGGUACAUGCUUUGACCCACUACAAAUUUAUUGGGUUCUUGCUUGUUUAUUAAUCAGUGACAGCAAGGUGAUUUGCUAUGGGACAUGAUCAGCAAUACGUAGCUCAGAAACUGCACCACAUCCAAUUCUGAAGGUUCAUCUGGGGUUGUGAAACAUUGCACCUCUCUUCUGACAAUAGCUUUUCAAUACAGAACACAGAACAAUAGCUUUUCAAGACAGAACACUUGUCAGAAUUAAUCAAAAGACAGCGAGAGCUCUCUUUUAAUUCAAUGUUUUUUUACAUUCAAUUAAUCCUCAUACGCAAAAUGUUAGAUUCCAGCCAAAGUGUACCAGCCAAAAUAACACAGAGAAUGUUUAUUUGCUGAUGUAAUUGAUAACACCUCAUUGCAUCUUUCUCAUUCAAGGAAACUGUAGCAUUAAUCAUGCUUGCAUUGUUUUUUUUUUUUUUGUUUUUUUGCAAACUGCAUAGAUCAUCAGAAAUAUUUCUCUUAAUAUAAAUUAUCAGAUCAUCAGAUAUAUUGUCUGUGAAAGACUGCUCUUCUUACCGUAGUCUAUCUAGAAUAUAUAUAGAAUAAUAUUGCUGCGUUAAUUGAGUGCCAGGCUUAAUUGAAAUGGCACAAGAGCAGAUCUGAACACUGCUUUUCUUUGACACAGAACUCCUCUCUGCAUACUGUGCUUCAUGGCCAUUAGUGUAGAAUGAAAAACAUUCAUUCAAACAGGAGGGCAUAAUUUAACUCUGCUUUAAUAAUGCAUCAUGAUUCAAUGCUGGAUCCAUUAUUUCUACCAAGAGUCCAACUGGAGGUAGAAAGAGCUGGUUUGAUACAAGGCUCUUUCCCUACAAUCUUGCGUAAAUGCAUAAAUGAAUGCAGGGACAAGCUCCAUUAUUUUGAAAGAGUCUCUGGUAUUCAAAGGGACAGAGUAGCCCAUUAUAGCUAAUAUAUUUUUUAAUAGGAAAAACAUAUUUGAUCCAAACUAAUUUCCCCUUCACAGCCUGGCUUCUAAAGUAAUCCAUUACCUCUAUGAGUCAGUAGCAGGAGGAGCAAGUUGCUAAUGACCCUUACCUUCAGAGCAAAGAAUUGUCCUGUCACUCUCUAUACAAUACUGACUCCAGAACAAUGGCAGCCAAUUGUUCCAUCGUCUUUGUAUGCGCUAACCCAAGCAGGGCCUUAUACAAAAUAAAUGGGCAAUGUAACUUGAACUUGGGGCAGCCACACCACCUUGAAGCAACCGUCAAUUUAGUCAUUAAUGUUAAGGAGAGUUGGAGUGAAGGGAUCAUUCCAGGAAAGAAACAUAAAAUCCAUAUAUAGAUAUAGAUGCAAUUUUUUUUUCAUACCAUAUUCUACAGAUAUUGGUAGAGUUUUUUGUCUUUGGUAAUGGAAAAAAUUAUUUCCAAAUGGUAAUGAUUUUUUGAUGCUGCAAAUGGAAGAUCUCCAUUGUAGUGUGGGUUUGUGGGUUUAAGUUAUUAUAUUUCAGAGUGCGCACAAGCAUUACAAUUCAUCCUGACAUUUAAAACAUAUACAUUUCCAAUUUCUGUAUAGCAAUUAGGUGCACUCUACAUGAAGAAGCUGCCACCAUUUCUGAAUAACAAGUCACAGUGCCCGAUGUUCACGCUCCAUACUGUCUGAUGGAGGAGCAGAUAGACAGAGCUCAGCAGCCUGCUGAGCUCCUGCCACAUAAUCAUUUGUUCCCACACACCACUCCUUUUUCACCUUUUAUGAAACAUGAAAUUAAAUCUCCUUAUGGAGACCAGUCAGCACACCAAGCAGUGUUCCAUCUCCUGAUAAUCUCUUGCACAGCAAACAUGCUGGACGUUGUCAGCUAAGGGGUGUCUAGUCUUUCAGUAGAUAAUUAUGUUGGUAAAAUUAAAUUUGGCCCGACACAUAUGUCCCAAGCACCCAAGGAAGUUUAGUUUCAAUUUUGAUGUGACCCAUGAGAUAAGUUCAUGUAUAAAAUUGUUUCUUGUAUAAGAUUGUUGCAUGCUGUAAAGUAGUUUGAGCAUUUUCAUUCUGAUUAUUUUCCACAGUCAGCACUGUGUAAUUCAGAUUAUUUGUUAUCUAUGUGCAUACUGAUAAGCAUCCCCCCUACUUUAUUUUAUAAAAUGUUCACUGCUCGCUGCAUGGUCUGGGCAUAAGCAGAGUAUUGGACAAAUUUUACAAGAACGGUACUAUUUUCAUUGGUCCAUUUUAUUAAACUGAAAGCCAAGCUAUUACACCAACUGUAUCUUCACAUUUUAUAGGACUGAGAGUGGCUGGGGAAAUGGGGACACAGAUGACAGCCUGUGAAAAUGAAAGGAUGGAUUUUGGAAAGAUAGCCGUGGUCCUAGAUCACACAGUGAAAAGGGCACAUGGACGUCUCAUAUUAUGACCAUAUUAAUUCCUUGAAAACAGGACUUUAUUGGCAGAUUGAGCUUUUAAUUUUGAAGAGCAGAUAGACUGCAUUCAUGUCUGACUUUUGACUGCUUGCCAAAGCCUGCAUAUUCAUUCCUAAGUUUUUGAAAUUCAAAAUGCUGCUUGUGCGUUUACAACUCACAUAAAAUCAAUAGUUCAAUGAUGGAAUAAAUAUAAUGGGAAACACACAAAAAAACUGACUUUCGGAUGCAUUUUCAAUGUUUAUUAUAUGUGUACAGUAAGCCAAAAUAGCCUAGUAUCUGUUAGGUUAAAGGUCUAAACAUAAAUUGAGUAUUUAUUAAAUAGAAUUAAUAAAUGUAUAUUUGCACAUCUUUAUAUGACAAGAUAUAAACACCUUCUUCCUUCGUGUCACACGUGCCACUGUUCUGUUUAUAACCAAUAUCAGUUCUGUAUCAAAAGCGCUAACAAAUAAUUUAGACAACCAGAUUUACAUUGCCUCUUCUCCUUCAACAUACAUCACUGGAUCUAAGACUAUUAAAAAGAUAAAAUUUAUGAUUGUUGAAGGUAUUUUAUAAAUUCAUAAAUGUAGUUUGCAAGUAGCAGUAAAUCCUUGUGGUUAACUGAGUUUUUGUUUAUAUGCUCUAUUACUCUUUUUUUGAGGUUAUAAGCGUGUUGCUCAUUCUUAACACAGGGUGAGUAGGAAAGGAAAGGCAUGAAUACUCCCAAUAUCUUUUUAAUGCGCACAGAGUAAGCCUUUCAAUCAAGGCUGAUGGUGAAAGAAAAAGCACCCAGUAACAGUAAGACAAAACAGGCAGCACAUUAUAAAUUGACAAAAUAAUACAUUUUGUGUUGAAUAGUCUGUCUAUGUGCUAUGGAAAUAUUUGUAAAGAAUGUGCUAACUGCAUUUAGCAUAGAGUUUUGAGUUACUUGCUCUAAAUUUGUAUGUGUAUUUAUGAAUUCAUUAUUAUUACAUUUUUUUAUUUAUGGUGCUGGACACCGUGGAAGACUAGUGAUUUUGUUGUUGUAACAGUUCCGUGACAACAAGUCAUAGUCUACCUCAAUGACCAGAGCCCUCUCACCAAACUGUGGAAAAGUCCAGGAAGACAUCCUGCUUCCCUCAAAAGAAGACAUUUACCUCUUUCAGGUUGCCCAUAUUGCUUUUUGCUACAUCUGUUCACAUCAAAAAGCAAACUGGAUUGCAUCUGAAGGACCACAAGCAGCAGAAGAUCGAUGACAACAGAAAAAAAAGAUUUUAUGGCUUUUGUGGGCACUUGGUUAGUGUCCUUAUUGUUCACUGCAUUAAAUAAAUUAAAAGAUAUGUUUUGCUCUUUGUA